UCGAGCGAACAGACGAGGAGCUUGCUCCUCUGACGUUAGCGGCGGACGGGUGAGUAACACGUGGAUAACCUACCUAUAAGACUGGGAUAACUUCGGGAAACCGGAGCUAAUACCGGAUAAUAUAUUGAACCGCAUGGUUCAAUAGUGAAAGACGGUUUUGCUGUCACUUAUAGAUGGAUCCGCGCCGCAUUAGCUAGUUGGUAAGGUAACGGCUUACCAAGGCAACGAUGCGUAGCCGACCUGAGAGGGUGAUCGGCCACACUGGAACUGAGACACGGUCCAGACUCCUACGGGAGGCAGCAGUAGGGAAUCUUCCGCAAUGGGCGAAAGCCUGACGGAGCAACGCCGCGUGAGUGAUGAAGGUCUUCGGAUCGUAAAACUCUGUUAUUAGGGAAAAACAAAUGUGUAAGUAACUAUGCACGUCUUGACGGUACCUAAUCAGAAAGCCACGGCUAACUACGUGCCAGCAGCCGCGGUAAUACGUAGGUGGCAAGCGUUAUCCGGAAUUAUUGGGCGUAAAGCGCGCGUAGGCGGUUUUUUAAGUCUGAUGUGAAAGCCCACGGCUCAACCGUGGAGGGUCAUUGGAAACUGGAAAACUUGAGUGCAGAAGAGGAAAGUGGAAUUCCAUGUGUAGCGGUGAAAUGCGCAGAGAUAUGGAGGAACACCAGUGGCGAAGGCGACUUUCUGGUCUGUAACUGACGCUGAUGUGCGAAAGCGUGGGGAUCAAACAGGAUUA
rnacentral:rRNA from 1 species